rnacentral:rRNA from 1 species
UACGAACCGUCCAAACGUUAUUCGGAAUCACUGGGCUUAAAGGGUACGUAGGCGGCGCUGUUAGUCGGGUGUGAAAUCCCUCGGCUCAACCGAGGAAUUGCGUCCGAUACUGCAGUGCUUGAGGGAGACAGAGGUAAGCGGAACUGAUGGUGGAGCGGUGAAAUGCGUUGAUAUCAUCAGGAACACCGGUGGCGAAAGCGGCUUACUGGGUCUCUUCUGACGCUGAGGUACGAAAGCUAGGGGAGCGAAGGGGAUUAGAUACCCCCGUAGUCCUAGCCGUAAACUCUGAGCACUUGAUCGUGGGCCCCCCCAUAGGCUCUCGGUCGUAGCGAAAGUGUUAAGUGCUCCGCCUGGGGAGUAUGGUCGCAAGGCUGAA